rnacentral:rRNA from 1 species
GUCCUAGCCGUAAACGAUGGGUGCUAGGUGUGGGGCGGCGAUCGACCCGUUCCGUGCCGUAGCUAACGCAUUAAGCACCCCGCCUGGGGAGUACGGCCGCAAGGCUAAAACUCAAAGGAAUUGACGGGGGCCCGCACAAGCGGCGGAGCAUGUGGCUUAAUUCGAUGCGACGCGAAGAACCUUACCUGGGCUUGACAUGCGGGGUGAAGCCGUGGAAACACGGUCCUCCUUCGGGAGCCCGCACAGGUGUUGCAUGGCUGUCGU